rnacentral:rRNA from 1 species
GACGAACGCUGGCGGCGUGCUUAACACAUGCAAGUCGAACGAUGAACCCGGAGCUUGCUCUGGGGGAUUAGUGGCGAACGGGUGAGUAACACGUGAGUAACCUGCCCUGGACUCUGGGAUAAGCGUUGGAAACGACGUCUAAUACCGGAUAGGACCUUGGGUCGCAUGAUCUGGGGUGGAAAGUUUUUUCGGUCUGGGAUGGACUCGCGGCCUAUCAGCUUGUUGGUGAGGUAAUGGUUCACCAAGGCGUCGACGGGUAGCCGGCCUGAGAGGGUGACCGGCCACACUGGGACUGAGACACGGCCCAGACUCCUACGGGAGGCAGCAGUGGGGAAUAUUGCACAAUGGGCGAAAGCCUGAUGCAGCAACGCCGCGUGCGGGAUGACGGCCUUCGGGUUGUAAACCGCUUUUAGUAGGGAAGAAGGGCUUCGGCUUGACGGUACCUGCAGAAAAAGGACCGGCUAACUACGUG